rnacentral:lncRNA from 1 species
ACACUCACGAACGAUUCUUCUCCUUCUCUUGACCACCACCUCCACCGAUCCAGUCCACCACCACCAGGCACCAGCCGACGCACCACCGCCACCGGCCACCAGCCCACCACAAUCCUUCUCUGCUCACUACCUUCUCUCUCUCUCUCUCACGAGUCACGACUCUGGUUCUUCCUCACUUCUACUUCUCAACUCUCAAGCACAACACACACCAGUGACACCACGCGGCCACGCCACCAGUCCACCACCACGGCACCACCGGCGGCCGGCGCACGCCACCACCCACUCUCUCUCUCUCUCUGUUGAAGCUUGAAGGUUGGUUGGAAUUGAAAACCCCCAAAUUGAAAAACCCUAAAUUGAAAACCUAAACCCCAAAUUGAAAACCCUAAUUUCUAUUAUUUUGAUUUGCUUUCCCUUUUGCUGAGUUUGAAAGUAGUGUAUGUUGUCAAUUGUUGAAUUUGCUGAAAUCAAUUUGUCAAUUGUUGGCUGGAAUGUUGAAUUUGUCAAAAGGAGCACUACCAGUACCAGGUCCAGGAGCUUUCGGAUGUUGAAUGUUGAAUUGUUGGCUGGGAUAUUGGGAUGAUUGUUGGCUGGAAUGUUGAAUUUGUCAAUUGUUGAAUGUUGAAUUGUUGGCUGGGAUAUUGGGAUGAUUAGAUGAUAUAUUGAUAUUGUAUUUUACAUACACUAGUUUGCUUAAAAUGGGAGUAAUUGGUUUGAGAGUAAUUGGUUUGAUUUACAUGAGAGUAAUUGGUUUGAUUUAAAUGGUUUGAUUUAGUAAUUGAUUUGAGAUUAGAAUUUUGAUGUUUUGUAGAGAAAUGAGUUUACACUUUGCAGAUGUGUUUUUGUGCAAUGUUAGUUUAAAUGGUUUAGAAAUUAGAUUGAUAGAAAUAGAAUUAUAGAAUGAUAGUGUUCAGAUUGAUUGGGAUUUAGAGGCAUAAAAUGAAGUGAGGGAUUUAUAGGCAUAAAUUGAUAGUGGCGAGCAACUUUUGGCAGUUUUGGGUAAGAAAGUGAGGGAGGGCGAGGGGUUCCAGAGAGAUUUCUGGUGUUCGGAUUGAUAUUAUCACGGAGGAAACCAAUGAAAAAUCUGAUCAUGGAACUCCUAGUUGGUAUGGGGCUCAACUUUUGUCUUUGGUAGGCAUUUCGAAACCUUUUACCUUGUUCCUUAUUAAGCUAUCUUCUUGACACUUAUUUUGAUACAUGACUAGCUUAGUUUGAUGUCAUUUAAUACCUGAGAAAUCUUAGUUCAUUUUGAAGUCUCCAAAUUGGUUUAUUUAUUUCAAUAUUGGUUAUUAUCCUUCCAGACAUGGGUCACACUUGGCAGAGCACAGCUGAAUUUUGGUGAGCCGGUUAAUGCAAUUGAAAGCUUUGACAGAGCGUUAGCUCUUAAGGUCAGUCUUCAUGAUGCUUGGUAGUUGAGUUAGAUGUUGCUCAAGUUUUCUAUUCAGCAUUGAGUUUAGUUACUUGGAAUAGUUAGUGAAAUAAUUAGCCAAAGAAAGAGGGAUAACAUGCUAUGAAUAAUGGCAAGAAAUUUGUAGUGAUUGCUUUUGUAGAAAUUGGGAAGGGGAGUCAUGGUCUCUCAAAUACCUGGGUGAGGGACAUGAUUUUCUGUGCUGCUCGUGUUCUUAUCUCUGUUUUAUAUCAGAUUGAUAGUUUGCUUUUUGUAUAGUAUCUAGAUUUUGUAUGAAUUUUCCUCUUGAUUGCCGAAGUGUUUGACCCCUGUUAGCUAAUUGCAUAUGAUGUCAUUUAAUACUUUGUGCAUAAUUGCAUAUGAUGACCCCUGUUAGCUAAAGUUGAUGGUUCGUUAUUGACGAUUAUAACAUUUCUUAACAUUGAGUUCCCCAGUUUUUCAAAUGUUUUUGGGUUAUCGAUGUGCUCAUUUGAAAAAUUUGAACCCCCUGACCCCGGGGUCCUGGAUCCGCCACUGGUCGAUGUGAAAAGUGGUGUUUUCUGUUUUUGUGAAGAGGUUGGUGAGUGCCGACGAAGAUUCAAGCCAUGGGUCUGGUGGUUGGUAUGUGAUGGUGAUGACGGUGAAGAUGAGAACGGAGAAGACGAAGAGUGAGAAGGAGAGGUUGCUGAUGAGUUUGAUGAGGUUCUGAGCAAUGGGUUCGGUUAUGCUACUGGUUCUGGUGUUCGAGUGCUUUAUUUCCGGUUUUGAGAUCCAAUCUGAAUGGAAUGGACAUGGUGAAGAGAAGAGAAGCGUAAUGUGG